CGUGUAGGCGGUCUCGCAAGUCGGAUGUGAAAGCCCUCGGCUUAACCGAGGAAGUGCGUUCGAAACUACGAGACUUGAGUACCGGAGAGGGUGGCGGAAUUCCCGGUGUAGAGGUGAAAUUCGUAGAUAUCGGGAGGAACACCAGUGGCGAAGGCGGCCACCUGGACGGCUACUGACGCUGAGACGCGAAAGCGUGGGGAGCAAACA
rnacentral:rRNA from 1 species